rnacentral:lncRNA from 1 species
AGGUGUAAAGGGCUGCAAUCUACGUGCCGCCACUAGAUGGUGCUAAACCUCAUUGUGCGCAGCUGCGAGAGCACAGCCAGCCAAAGUCACCAGUCCAUCUCCGAGGCUUUUGCCCAACCCCUGGGGGCUUUAACCUAUCCCCAGGGUGCAUGAGGAUCAUGGGUGUUGCUACCAGUCCUAGUUUAGACACGUCACCAAAAGUAUUUAAGCCACACACUUUCUGAGCUUUCUUUGUCUACCUCAAUAUGAUAUAGAAGUAAAAGUUAACCGUGGAAGAA